rnacentral:rRNA from 1 species
AGAGUUUGAUCAUGGCUCAGGAUGAACGCUAGCGGCAGGCCUAAUACAUGCAAGUCGAACGCUCAGUAGCAAUACUGGGAGUGGCGCACGGGUGCGUAACGCGUACACAAUCUACCUCUAAGCGGGGGACACCUCCUGGAAACGGGGAUUAAUACCGCAUAAAAUGCCGAGGUCGCAUGACUUUGGUAUUAAAGCAGCAAUGCACUUAGAGAUGAGUGUGCGUCCCAUUAGGUAGUUGGUGAGGUAACGGCUCACCAAGCCUAUGAUGGGUAGCCGGUCUGAGAGGAUGGUCGGCCACACGGGCACUGAGACACGGGCCCGACUCCUACGGGAGGCAGCAGUAAGGAAUAUUGGUCAAUGGUGGAAACACUGAACCAGCCAUGCCGCGUGGAGGAAUAAGGUCCUACGGAUUGUAAACUCCUUUUGACGAGGAAGAAAGUGUUAGAUUUAUCUAAUUUUGACGGUACUCGUAGAAUAAGCACCGGUUAACUCCGUG